rnacentral:rRNA from 1 species
UACAGAGGUCCCAAGCGUUGUUCGGAUUCACUGGGCGUAAAGGGUGCGUAGGCGGUCGGGUAAGUCUGAUGUGAAAUCUCACAGCUUAACUGUGAAACUGCAUUGGAUACUAUCCGGCUCGAGGAAUGGAGGGGAGACUGGAAUACUUGGUGUAGCAGUGAAAUGCGUAGAUAUCAAGUGGAACACCAGUGGCGAAGGCGAGUCUCUGGAUAUUUCCUGACGCUGAGGCGCGAAAGCCAGGGGAGCAAACGGG